rnacentral:rRNA from 1 species
GACGAACGCUGGCGGCGUGCCUAACACAUGCAAGUCGAGCGGGGAUUUAAGUGGAAGUUCUUCGGAAUGGAGAUUUAAAUUCUAGCGGCGGACGGGUGAGUAACGCGUGAACAAUCUGUCCCGGACAGGGGGAUAACACUUGGAAACAGGUGCUAAUACCGCAUAAGACCACGGCCUCGCAUGGGGCUGAGGUAAAAGGAGCAAUCCGGUUCGGGGUGAGUUCGCGUCCGAUUAGCUAGUUGGUGAGGUAACGGCCCACCAAGGCGACGAUCGGUAGCCGGCCUGAGAGGGUGAACGGCCACAUUGGAACUGAGAGACGGUCCAAACUCCUACGGGAGGCAGCAGGGGGGAAUAGUGGGCAAUGGGCGAAAGCCUGACCCAGCAACGCCGCGUGGGGGAAGAAGGUUUUCGGAGUGUAAACCUCUGUCCUAUGGGACGAAGGAAGUGACGGUACCAUAGGAGGAAGCCCCGGCUAACUACGUG